ensembl:lncRNA
ACUCGUGUCUUCGUGCCACCUCUUCGCCACACAGAUCCCAACAAUUGGGACAUUGAUCUGUCCUUGCGCCGAAAUGGUGGAACGAGCUCUCUGAAGACAUCAGGACCACAGAGAGCCUUCACAUCUUCCGCCGCAAACUAAAGACACACCUCUUCAGACUCUACCUCGACUAAAGACUAACAAAUUGUAGCACUUAAAUUGUACUUGUAACGUCACUCAUCUAUAGCAAAUUGUAAAUUGGCUUAUUUGAGGAAAUUGCACUUUCUUGUUUCUUGUUCUCCUGAGUUUGUACCCUAUGGUUGAAUGCACUUAUUGUACGUUGCUUUGGAUAAAAGCGUCCGCUAAAUGACAUGUAAUGUAUCUAUAACGACACUAGUCACCUCACUUCAAAGCUAAAUGUCCUCACUAAUCAAAUGCGCAGGUUCACGGCUUAUUGUCAUUGAUUCCUUGGAUAUCACAAAAGCAAAUAUGAAGAUGAAAGAACUGGCAGAAGAACUAGAAGAAGGAAGUGGAGGUGGGUUGAGAAUGGUGGGUGUGCCAAGCAGACUUUGACAUAGAGGAGAAGUUUGAAAACUGAAAGUGUGCGGCUUUGGUUCCGUUUAAAGAAAGGUCACAGUUUCUGGACGGCAACAAAAUGAUCAGCGUUCAUUUAAAAACACAUUAAUUAGUGUAUAUUCAGUGCGUGGGUGUAAAAUGAGCCGAUCCGGACAACUUUACGCAUGCUGAUUCUCAAUGGCUGAGCUUGGUUGCUCGUCUUGUAUGUCUCGGCAAUGGCCUCUGAAACCCAGUAGGGUGGGUGCUGCUUUAAAAGAGAGCACAGCCCUCAGUUCCAGCAUAACUGACCGUUCUAAGCCGCUCUAUCCAAGCGGGAACUUCUACACAAGCUCUGAGGGCCCGCACUUGGCACGGUAGCCCUGACCUCGCCUCUCCUGCUGGAAGGGGGGUCAACUGUGCAGGCUAAAUAGGCUGGUUGAUACGUGAGCUUGUUCGCACCGUCGGGAGGGACGCUGCCUUAGGCCACAGAGUAAUGCCAGAGCUGAGGUACCCUCAGAUAUGAUUUGCUCACCAGCAAGGCAUGCAACUCGAGUAUAGGUUUAGUGGCUGCGAUGGCAAGGAGAGAGAUACCCCUUUUGACCACUAGCCAUCUCAGCUCCGCCUGAGUCGGGGGUUCAAAAGGCACGUCUAGGGUCUCCAGUGCCAAGGGUACGUCUCUUCAGUGGCUUUUUGGCCGCUCGCAGGACGUGAUUGCGGAGCCCCCCCAUUUUUGGGGGGUUUUUUUUGACAGAGGGACGCCAGUCUGUGGCUCCCUACUGUGUGAUGUCGACCUCAGUAGGCUGCCCCGAAAUGAGGCCGGCUAUAAUCCAAUGGUAGAGGGAGACUGUCCCUUAAAGAGGAGGGACUUGUGGAAACCCAAGUACAGCAGGCACAGGGCCUUGUACCGGGGUCCUGUUGAGAACGGCACACCGGUCAGAAAACAGUUUCUGUUUUUCUGUUUUUUUUACUCUCGGGUGGAUACAUCGCGCCCUGGGAUUCAGAAGUUGGUUUGACCGAUUUUUUGCAACCACAUAACGCCCUGUCGGUUCACCCUAUAGGCGGAAAAAGAUGUAAGACAACCGUUUACCUCUUAGAAGGGGAGAGGCUGUGGGGAAGUCGUCCACAUGCGCUGGGGUGACGGACAGCCCCACAGGGCCACCCUAAUGGUGGUAGUGCUCUGAGGAGGGCUAGGGUGGUUUCACAACGACUGGGCCCCCAGGUUCGGCAGUUGCCUGUGGGGAACAUAUGGUAGUGUUGCAUGGGUACAAGCUGGCGUCCAGGCAACUUGUGGCAGUUACUGGAGUUAGCUGGGGGAUGAGGAGGGCCAAAGUGGAACCCUAUAGAUACGCUGGCAUGUUCCUGUAAAGAAACAGAACUGCUGUCUGCCUUGGCUAUCUACAAUUCUUUGCUGAGGCGCCUGGUUUAUCAGCUAAAAAACAGCUCCUCUGGCUUCCACAGGGACACUUUGGAGGAUUCUCCGAUAUGUCUCUGACAGGGGUGACUGCGCCGGCCAAACCCAGCGGCGAGUCUGGAGCAGGGGGAACAUCAGACGUCCAAGCUCCCCCGAUAUGAGGGCAAUAUCUGCAGUGAAAUCAUUGCGGCCGGUGGAAGCGGCAAGCAAAGCUGAGAGGGCAAGCAUGAGGUGGAAAAGGGACAUGCCGAUAAGGCUCAUCACCCUGUUGUGUCAUCAGCCUUCAGUGAGCAGGAGCUCUUCUGCUACUGUGGAAACGGACCAAAUAGCCGGUCCUUAAAGUAAGAGGGGAGCGGGAGCACUCUCUUCACUAGGAUAUUUUCUGCAGAUAUCAGGAUCCCACCAGUUAGCUCAAGUGGGAGCACUUCUGCUACUGUGGACACAGGCCGAAUAGCUGGUCCUUACAGUGCGAGGGGAGCGGGAGCACUCUCGACAGUGGCUGUAGUGAAUUGUGUAUCACCUUGAGCGAGGAUACAUUGCCAACCGACAGCUGAAAGUGUGAAAAACCUCAAUGGACACCACGUCAAUGUCAAUUCAGUCCACUUAGCAUCUCUGCGAGUUAGCUUGAACGAGGACACUCUGCUAACCGAUAGUCGCAGUCUCAGGGCCAGCUUUCCACGGUCUUAGCCCAAAUGAGGACACAGUGUAACCGUGAUCAUUGCUAGAUCUUCAAUGACACAAUGUUCGUGUCGUUCUGGUCAGGUGUAGCAUCUCGUCCUGUUAGCCUGGGCGAGAGCACCCUGCUAAAUGUGUUAGCCGUAAGGUCCCAUCAGAAAUGUAGCCAGUGCUAGUGUUGAUCCAGUCAACUAGCACCACCCUCAGUCAGGAGGGGGGGCGACCUGCUAGCUGUGCUAGCCAUAAGGCAACAAACAACUUUAAACGUUCUAGUGAUGAUCUAGUCAACUAAGCACCACACCAGUUAUUCUGGGCGAGAGCACCCUGCUAGCUGUGGUAGUGGUAAGAUGUACAAAACAAAUGUACAAAAUGCUAUUGCAGAGAAUUAGCUCGUUUAAGCCUAGCUACCAGACUAACGAGAAGAUGAAAUAGGACUGAUCCCAGGAUGACACCGGUACUUAUACGUGUUGGGAGGUCAUCCGGGGUCACAGGUGACUUUGGUAAAUGGUAAAUGGACUGUACUUGUUUAGCGCUUUUCUAGUCUUCUGACCACUCAAAGCGCUUUAACACUACAUGACAUCAUUCACCCAUUCACACCCAUUCACACACUGAUGACAGGAGAACCACACACAGUGACACCUGCCAUCAGUCACUAACAUCCACACACUGUAGUCGCAGCUACAGGAGCCAUGUUGGGUUAAGCGUCUUGCCCAAGGACACAACGACAUGCGGGUUAGCCGGGCCUGGGAUCGAACCGACAACCCUCUGAUUGGAGGACGACCUGCUCCCCACUCACCCACAGUUGCCCGGCUUUGUUGGUAUAAAGACUCGACCUGAGCAUGCGCGAGACAGAAGAUAAUCCAGUGUGAAGCACUGCCUCUGGCGGUCAGUAAGGAUGAAAUAGAACCAACAUUCCUCUGGAAAGUCGGGUUUGAAAGGGGGUUAGCCUUUAAGUCAAGGUAAAAGAAACCAGAACAACCAAAUCUAUUUCAUAUUCAAAAAAGAAAUGUGGGUAAAACUGUCCCAUGUAACAAAGUCAAAUCAGUUCUAAAAUGGAGGGAUGGGCAGAUAGGUGGAGGAUGGAGGGGUGGGGUGGAGGGGGGCAGGAGAACAAGCUGAGAGGGAGAGAAAUCCCAAGAAGACAUUCUCUCAUAAUUAAUAAAUGAAAGAUGUUGUUAGUGCAUCUGAUCAAUACAGUUGUUAGGAAGAAGGAGCAAUUGAUCGGACGACAACAGGGUGAAGGAUGGAGGGAUGGAUGUGAGGGGGGGGGGGUCGUGCUAUUUGCUCUUGUGGCUGUUUCAAAUUUUCACCCUCGUUCAGAACAAAGGAGUCUCCUGAGCCUCAUCAGCACUGAUAGAUACUUAGCACC